rnacentral:rRNA from 1 species
CGGAUUGCAGCCUGCAACUCGGCUGCAUGAAGCUGGAAUCGCUAGUAAUCGCGGAUCAGAAUGCCGCGGUGAAUACGUUCCCGGGUCUUGUACACACCGCCCGUCACACCAUGGGAGUCGGGAAUGCCCGAAGUCAGUGACCCAACCGAAAGGGGGGANCUGCCGAAGGCAGGCCUGGUAACUGGGGUGAAGUCGUAACAAGGUAAC